GGAGAAGUCGCAUAGCGGUUCAGUGCAGCAGUUUACUAAACUGCCAACCCCCCCAAAGGGGUUCGCGAGUUCGAAUCUCGCCUUCUCCG
rnacentral:tRNA from 1 species